GGGAGGUGGGGGAUUUGGAAACUACAUAACUCCCUCUACUCCCACUCCAAACUCCCUGAACCUAGCAUUCUCUAGUCCCACCUCUGCCCCAACCCCAGCUUAGAAACAGCCCAUUUGGGAAGUGAAGGCAGAUACCGCAGCACAUCUGAGGAGAGGAGCACAUCUGAGUCCAAGAAGCUAUUGGGAAGAGAACUCCCUGGGCCCACAGCUUUCAGGCUUGGUCCCUAAUAUCCCUUUCUUGAUUCUGGGCAGAAAAACUGAGAAAGAAAGAAGAGGGAACUGAAAGGAGUAAAAAGAAGAAUGUGAGAAACAGAACACCUGAUUGUUACCAGCUGGGGAGAGAGGUGUUGGUGGAAGUGCCUAAGGUGGGACAGGGCCCACCACCCUGGCCAAAUAAGAAAACAUCAGCUUCAUAGCAGCACAGACUUUAAUUUUAGUUGGCAGCAGAGAG